rnacentral:misc_RNA from 1 species
CGAGCACACCGAGAACGAACGAAAGAAACCUGACCUGGAAAACGUUCCAAUCUCCUAUAGUAUCUUCUUUAAAAAAAGAGAGAAGAGAAAGAACUGGGAGUUGGCGCCUGGUUGCUUGCUUACCAAGCGAUCCUGGCUUUUCGCUCCUCUCCAACCAGUCGCUUAAAAGCUCCUCCAGUUCGAUUCUUAUUCUUGACUUAACUUAUUAUUAUAAAAAGUACUCACUAUCAAAAUGAAAGACAAUCGAUUAUCUACCCAAGAAGAUAGAGAGUCCCACAUACAAAAAAAAGGUCACAAAUAGAGUUAAACCAAGUAACAUUGCAAAGGCAUAAUGAUAAACAAAUCCACUUUGAAGUUGACUUAUUC